rnacentral:rRNA from 1 species
UACGAAGGGGGGCUAGCGUUGCUCGGAAUCACUGGGCGUAAAGCGCACGUAGGCGGAUCUUUAAGUCAGGGGUGAAAUCCUGGAGCUCAACUCCAGAACUGCCUUUGAUACUGGGGAUCUCGAGUCCGGGAGAGGUGAGUGGAACUCCGAGUGGUAGAGGUGAAAUUCGUAGAUAUUCGGAAGAACACCAGUGGCGAAGGCGGCUCACUGGCCCGGUACUGACGCUGAGGUGCGAAAGCGUGGGGAGCAAACAGGA